rnacentral:pre_miRNA from 1 species
CAACUACUCCCUCUGUCCCAAAUUUCUUGUCUUAGAUUUGUCUAGAUACUGAUGUAUCUAAUACUAAAAUGUGACUUGAUACAUCUGUAUCUAGACAAAUCUAAGACAAGAAUUUUGGGACGGAGGGAGUACUUU